rnacentral:tRNA from 1 species
AGCCUUAUAUUCAAUAAAUGAUAUAAAAUUGCAAAUUUUAAGUAAUAAUUUAAAAAUUAUUAAGGCUU